rnacentral:rRNA from 1 species
GAUGAACGCUAGCUACAGGCUUAACACAUGCAAGUCGAGGGGAAACGAUAUUGGAAGCUUGCUUCCGAUAGGCGUCGACCGGCGCACGGGUGAGUAACGCGUAUCCAACCUGCCCACCGCUUGGGGAUAACCUUGCGAAAGUAAGACUAAUACCCAAUGAUAUCUCAAGAAGACAUCUGAAUGAGAUUAAAGAUUUAUCGGUGAUGGAUGGGGAUGCGUCUGAUUAGCUUGUUGGCGGGGUAACGGCCCACCCAGGCUACGAUCAGUAGGGGUUCUGAGAGGAAGGUCCACCACAUUGGAACUGGGACACGGUCCAAACUCCUACGGGAGGCAGCAGUGAGGAAUAUUGGUCAAUGGGCGAGAGCCUGAACCAGCCAAGUAGCGUGCAGGAUGACGGCCCUAUGGGUUGUAAACUGCUUUUAUAAGGGAAUAAAGUGAGCCUCGUGAGGCUUUUUGCAUGUACCUUAUGAAUAAGGACCGGCUAAUUCCGUGCCAGCCGCCGCGGUAA